ensembl:lncRNA
UCCAAAUGCUGCUCUGUUUUCAGUUUCAGAAACUAUCCCUUUGUAGGAAUGCCUGUAAAGGUUCAUCCAUUUAUCUACUCAGGCAUUCAUCUUACACCCUGUCUGGUAAUGCGGAGAGUUUAUUGGUAAGGAAGGGGGAUUAUCUCAGAUGGUAGAGUGCUCGCUUACCAUGCGGGAGGUAGCGGGAUCAAUACCUGCAUCCUCCAAAUGCUGCUCUGUCCUGGUAGACGGGGUGGUCUAUGCUGCAUACAUUCAUUUGGUAUUACAAUUUGCACAUGGAUUCUUACCUAGGCUUGAGGGUCUUGUAGUGACCCUCAGGCUCAGAUGUGUAUACAGGUAUACUUGUUCCCACAAUGUGAAGCUCAGACAUUGUUGAGUUCCCUUUGAAAGGAAAUGUCUGUUAUGCAUGUAACCUUGUUCCCUGAGAAGGGAACGAGACAUUGCCUAGCUUCGUCAUACUGGGGUAUGCCUGUAAAUUGUGUCUUUGCUUCAGAUAAAAAUAAGCUUAUGACGUGGUAUACAGGUGCUCUUUUAUAUUCACUCGACGCACAAAAUGC